rnacentral:lncRNA from 1 species
AGGUUCUGCUUCCUUUUAUUUAUUUAUUUAUUUUUUUUGUUCGUUGUUGGUUUUUUUAAAUGACCUCCACCCACCCCUCCUCCUCGUCCCGGCUUGCAGGAAGCCAGCACUUUCCCUGAGCAGGUUCUCCCCCCACCCCCCAGCCAAUCACAUCUGCUGGACCUCUCAGUAAACUUGUCGGGGUCUCUGGGUAAAACCAGAGUCCAGCUGAGCCGCCCUAGAUACUCAAAUGCCCGAGGUCCGUAGCAGAUGGAUGGAAUGAGAGGGUACUUUUGCGAGCUCCCGGCGGAAUUCGCUGGCAGCUGCGAGAGGCGCGGGUGUUUGGGUUCCUUUGACAUUUUCCCUGCUUCAAAGCUGAGAGCGGGGGUUAGAGAUUGGGCGAACUUCAACGUGUUCGGUUACAAGAAGGAAUGAUGGAGACCAGAACAGUACAUCCAGAAGACCCAGCAGAGCAUACCAUGCCAUCCAUGGACAUGCAAAUGGGUAAAAUUAAAACGGAUGCCAGAAACAUGAUGCAGCUUCAUUUCCUGAACCCUCACAUAGUAUCUUAAGUGUUCCCCAGGCACUGUAUCUCCAUAUCCAGAAACCUAACAUGAGGAUCUCUGCUUAACAGCUCACCCAGGACCGGAGAAGCCUGCAGUAAGAGAUUUGUGCAACCCAUUCUGGAGUAAGGGCUCCCUUGCCGCUCGUUGCUUCGCAGUGUUUGAAAAUCAGGGGCUGGAAAGCCCAGAGUCCAGGAGCCCAGAGGCGUGUAGCUCCUGGCUUGUACUUACAUCAUUUUUAACCCUUCCGCACCUGGAAGGGGCUCAGCGGGAUCAGGAUGCCCCCGAGCUCCGGAACACGCAGGACCUAGGUGCAAGAGAAGAGCCCCAGGGUUCGGUGUGAGCGCUGAGCCCCAGGAGAGAGAGACCGCGGAGAGCGCAGGGGGUUCAUAACCCGCGCUUAUAGUCGGGCCCCUUGAUCCCUACAGACUCCAGUGCGGCUCGCCUCUGGCUCGCAAGGCUAGAAGCAGCAGGUGCAAAAAGCAUUUGGGAACCGCUUGCCAGUGCUUGGAGGUAAUGCGCUUCCUGUCCAUUUAUCUCAGGAAACCAGCGCUGCCUUCCCUUCGAAACAAAAUUAACCUCUCAUUAGCCAGCCACUCACUCCCAAGAAGGCCUUAAAAGCUUUACCCUCUCACUAAUGUAUUUAGGCUUUUCUUCCAGGCAAAGGAAGCCGAGGCUGUGACUAACAUCAGCCCCAGGGGUUCUUAUGGGCUCCCCGAGGAGCCAGCCGCUAGCCUUUCACUGGUCUAAUCUGGGAAAUUGGCCAACCCAGGAACCCAGUUUGUAGAAGCAGGCCGAUCCGACACCCCUGAACGAACUUCACACCAAAAACCCCCCAAAACCAACCAACCAAACAACCAACCAAACAAAAA